rnacentral:rRNA from 1 species
AUUGAACGCUGGCGGCAGGCCUAACACAUGCAAGUCGAGCGAGCGGCGGACGGGUGAGUAAUGUAUGGGGACUGCCCGAUAGAGGGGGAUAACUACUGGAAACGGUGGCUAAUACCGCAUACUAUCGGAUAACCCAUAUGGGAUUAGCUAGUAGGUGGGGUAAAGGCUCACCUAGGAGACGAUCUCUAGCUGGUCUGAGAGGAUGAUAAGCCACUCUGGGACUGAUACACGGCCCAGACUCCUACGGAGGCAGCAGUGGGGAAUAUUGCACCAGGGGCGCAAGCCUGAUGCAGCCAUGCCGCGUGUAUGAAGAAGGCCUUAGGGUUGUAAAGUACUUUCAGCGGUGCGGCGUUCCCCGCAGAAGACGCACCUGCUAACUCCGUGCCAGCCGCCGCGGUAAUUC